CAGUAGCCGCGGUAACACGUAGGGUGCAAGCGUUAAUCGGAAUUACUGGGCGUAAAGCGUGCGCAGGCGGUUUGUUAAGACAGAUGUGAAAUCCCCGGGCUCAACCUGGGAACUGCAUUUGUGACUGGCAAGCUAGAGUGUGGCAGAGGGGGGUGGAAUUCCGCGUGUAGCAGUGAAAUGCGUAGAUAUGCGGAGGAACACCGAUGGCGAAGGCAGCCCCCUGAGCCAACACUGACGCUCAUGCACGAAAGCGUGGGGAGCAAACAGGAUUAGAUACCCCUGUAGUCCCUGUCUCUUAUAC
rnacentral:rRNA from 1 species